rnacentral:lncRNA from 1 species
ACCUCAGAUAGUGGUGUUGGCUCUUUAUCAUUCAAAAACAGAGAUGCUAUUUCAGAGCAACAUUGAAUAAUCAUGUCUUCCAUUUCAUUAUCAACUGAUUCCUCUUCCACUUCUACUUCAUAUAUGUUUUCAUUUGAGGUAAUUUCAGGAGCUGCUGGCAAUGAUAGUUCAGCUAUUUGAGCAAGAUUAGAUAAUUUCUCAUGAAUUGCAAUAACC